GUGUCAGCAGCCGCGGUAAUACGUAGGGGGCGAGCGUUGUCCGGAUUCAUUGGGCGUAAAGAGCUCGUAGGCGGUUCGCUAAGUCAGGUGUGAAAUCUCCGCGCUCAACGCGGAGGGGCCACCUGAUACUGGCGUGACUCGAGUCCGGUAGGGGAGUGUGGAAUUCCCGGUGUAGCGGUGAAAUGCGCAGAUAUCGGGAGGAACACCAGUGGCGAAGGCGGCACUCUGGGCCGGAACUGACGCUGAGGAGCGAAAGCGUGGGUAGCAAACAGGAUUAGAUACCCGAGUAGUCC
rnacentral:rRNA from 1 species